rnacentral:tRNA from 2 species
GGGCCGUUAGCUCAGCUUGGUAGAGCAGCGGACUUUUAAUCCGUUGGUCGCUGGUUCGAAUCCAGCACGGCCUACCA